UGUGUGUGUGUUUAUGUAUAUAGGUGUGGGUGUGGGUACACAAACACACACACACACACACACACACACACACACACACA